UACGUAGGCAGCGAGCGUUGUUCGGAGUUACUGGGCGUAAAGCGUGCGUAGGCGGUUUGUUAAGUCCGCUGUGAAAGCCCUGGGCUCAACCUGGGAAUUGCAGUGGAUACUGGCAAGCUAGAGUGCGGGUAGAGGAUGGUGGAAUUCCCGGUGUAGCGGUGAAAUGCGUAGAGAUCGGGAGGAACACCCGUGGCGAAGGCGGCCAUCUGGACCAGCACUGACGCUGAGGCACGAAAGCGUGGGGAGCAAACAGGG
rnacentral:rRNA from 1 species